AAAAUCUUUCUACUAAAUGCCAAAUCAGAUUCUCCAAAAUCAAUUGCUCCUCUCCCAUUCACGAAGAACCCUAAUUUCAUCUCAAUAAGCAUCUUCCCCAAAUCAAUUGAUCCCCAACGUUACCUGAAGAACCCUAACGCCCAAAAUGGAUUCGCGAAGUAUGGGAACAAAGAAUCGACCAUUGUUCUCGGUUGCAAUCCCAACUUCAACUCAAGCACCCCAACCUGCAAAAUCGAAUAGAAAGUAUGUGAACAAACAAUUGGCCAUUCGUCUAUGUCGUGAUCCCCAAAUUCAGCUCAAGAAUCCUAACCCCGAUCGAAUUGCGAAGUAUGUGUUCCAAAAAUCCGCAAUUGUUCUACACACUUGAAGGCAUAAACAUGGACGGUUCUGAUGAAGGUAAUUCCACCAUUUUAGUGGGCUUAGUGGAAUAAUUUUUUCUGCGUCUGUUUUGGAAAUUUAAAUAAAUUACCUCAUUUUUGGCUUAGUUUAAUUUAAUAAUAAUUGAUUUCUAGGUUCUUAUUUUUGUGCUAUUUUUUUUUAUUACGUAAUAACACGACCCUAAAAAAUAUUGAAGUUGUGUGAUAACUCAAUUGGAAAAGUUUCUGCAAUGUUUAAUUGAUGUGAAACCAAGCACUUAACGUUGAAUCUGUCAAACUUUAAUAGAAAGUGCAUGAUUUUUGGUUUUGUGUUUUUGAUAAAGUUGAGUCUCCUAUUAACAAUUUGUACAUUUACCUCCUUAAAUGUGAGACGGUGAAAUUGCAGUACAUUUUGAAUGUUAAAGUUGAAUAUUUUCUUCUUCAUAUAUUACUGUCCAAAUGUUAAUGAGCUGUAAUUUUAUGACAGAAUUAACUAUGCCGGAUGAGAUUAGAUGUUUCUAAGCUCGAUGAACUCUUAAUGCCACGCUUAGAACUUCAUAGUGCUAUUCACAAAGUUGGAUUAAGCACGUUGUUGAUUUUCGUUUGGAAAUUUUGUGCCAGAGUAGGAACAAACAGCUCAUCCAUUAAUUAUUGCCCUCAUACCUUCUAGUUCCUAGAUGUUAAUUAUGAGCAGUAAGCAUAAAUGUUGUUGUGUGUAUUGCCAAUUCAUUACGCUAACUAUAUGACUGUCUUACUGUUCGUGGCUGCAAUGGCAUGGAAGAAUAUGUGCAAUUUGAGGGUGAGUCCAGUGGUGAAAACCAAUGUGUUUGUUCGGGUAACUCUCAGCCCGAAGUUCCAAUUGAAGAUUUGUCUUGUGUAUUGAAGGAUUCGCAUAACCGAACGAGAGGAAGUGGAAAUCUCAUUCAAUGUUACUAUCCGCAAGGGUAAAGGUCGUGUAGAAAAGAACGGGAGAUAGAAGGGAAGAGCUCCGUGAAUUAGACCGCCCAUGUUGUUGAUUAAAGAAAUGUUAUAAUAUUCAUCAAGUUGGACCAAUGUUAUUGUAUUCGUAAAGUUUUUUAAUUAUGCCGUUGUAUGCACUUCUUAUAAAGUUUGAAUUGAUUUUGUUGACCUGGGAUCUUACCAUUGUUGGGGAGAUUGAAUGGAUUUGAUUUGAUAUUUUACCAUGCGUAUGUAUGCUUG
rnacentral:lncRNA from 1 species